rnacentral:lncRNA from 1 species
GCUCCUUUGAGCCCUCUGCCUAUGCCAUAACACUCCACAAGCUGCGUGUUUAUCUGCCUGUUCAUAGCCUCACUGGACCGCAAGAUCUACAAAGGAAGAAACAUCCUAUUCACAGUUACACUAACAACAUGAACCAGUGUUGGUCCAUCCCAUGCUGAAAAACUGUUUAUUAAAUUAUUAGUAAUACUCAUUUUAUUAAAUAACAUUAUUGAAUUAGUGAAUAAAUUAGGUUCAGAAAAAAUCAAAAAGUCAAAAACAUCAGGAACUAAAUAUUUAGAAAAUAAACAUUUGCUUUGCUUUUCCUGAGCAAAUUAAUAUACAUUUAUACUCUCCCUACCCACCUCUACUCCACCCUGUGUCCACAUGGCUUCUGUGAGCACCUGUUCGUUACUUGAGUCUGGGAAAAGAGUAAAGGCACUGAUCAAAAUUAAGUAUUUACUGAUUGUAACUACUUCAAGAGAUGUUCUGCUUAUUAUACCCGGGCAUUGAAGCCAGUCUUGCAGAACUAGAUGAACAACAGUGGUUCAUCUUUGGGCUGAGCAAAGAAGAUUCACUUGGUGUUAUGGACUGAAUUUUUUACCCUAAAAAUUCAUACAUUGAAGUUUGAACCCACAGUACAUCUUAGAAUGUGACUGUUUGGGGAGAUAAGAUCUUUA